GAAUAUUGCGCAAUGGACGAAAGUCUGACGCAGCGACGCCGCGUGUGGGAGGAAGCCCUUCGGGGUGUAAACCACUGUCAGGGGGGAAGAACUCCGGUCUCGCAAAUAGUGGGUCCGGUUGACGGUACCCCCAGCGGAAGCGCCGGCUAACUCCGUGCCCGCAGCCGCGGUAAGACGGAGGGCGCAAGCGUUGUUCGGAAUUACUGGGCGUAAAGCGCGGGCAGGCGGUCUGUUAAGUCUCCUGUGAAACUCCGGGGCUCAACCCCGGACAUGCAGAAGAUACUGGCGGACUGGAGACCGGUAGAGGCAAGCGGAAUUCCUGGUGUAGCGGUGGAAUGCGUAGAUAUCAGGAAGAACACCUGUGGCGAAGGCGGCUUGCUGGGCCGGUUCUGACGCUCAUCCGCGAAAGCGUGGGGAGCAAACAGG
rnacentral:rRNA from 1 species